AUCGCUUCUCGGCCUUUUGGCUAAGAUCAAGUGUGGAGUACGAGUUUCUUGGGAUUCUCACCCAUACUUGAUAUUAUUAAAAUAUUUUUUGCCAAUUUGAUAAGCAGAAGGUUGGCAUUUAGUUUUUUCUUUAGCUACAUUUCAAUGACUAAAUGCUCA
rnacentral:snRNA from 1 species